UUGAUCCUGGCUCAGAUUGAACGCUGGCGGCAGGCCUAACACAUGCAAGUCGAGCGGUAACAGAACUAGCUUGCUAGUUGCUGACGAGCGGCGGACGGGUGAGUAACGCGUGGGAAUCUGCCUGGUAGUGGGGGACAACAGUUGGAAACGACUGCUAAUACCGCAUACGCCCUUCGGGGGAAAGUAGGGGAUCUUCGGACCUUACGCUAUCAGAUGAGCCCGCGUCGGAUUAGCUUGUUGGUGAGGUAAAGGCUCACCAAGGCGAUGAUCCGUAGCUGGUCUGAGAGGAUGAUCAGCCACACUGGGACUGAGACACGGCCCAGACUCCUACGGGAGGCAGCAGUGGGGAAUAUUGGACAAUGGGGGCAACCCUGAUCCAGCCAUGCCGCGUGUGUGAAGAAGGCCUUCGGGUUGUAAAGCACUUUCAGAUGUGAGGAAAGGUGUGUGGUUAAUACCCGCAUACUGUGACGUUAACAUCAGA
rnacentral:rRNA from 1 species